CCCUCGGCCCCAACGGUCACCGCACGACGCGAGGCCCGCCCUUGACGGACGAGGGGCUCGGGCCGAGCGCCGCCCGCGGGGUCGGGGUCCCGCGCCCUCGCGCGCUCCCUGCCCGGCCCAGCCCGCGCGGCUGACGGGGCUUUAUUAGGGUCUCGCUGGGGAUAAUGACGGUGUUUUUGUUUCGCCAGGGUCCCCUCCCGCCGCCCCGGCCCGUGACGGGGGCUCCCCGUGUCCCCAGCGCCCGCUCACUCGGGGCGGCCCGGCCCAUCCCCCGCCGAGCGGGCGCCGGGACAGGGGCCGUGACUCGGCAGAUCUGGGCCAGGGACGCAGGCCCAGGCCUGGGGCCCCGGGGACAAGCCGGUGGGCCCCAAACCUGUGACCUGAAGAUCAGUUUCCCGCGGGGAAGCGGCCCUGGUGUGUUCAGGUCGGGACUCCUGCUCUGACACACGAAGUCGAGUGAAUGGGACAGGAGCUGGCAGCGAGGGAUGCAUCGUGGCUACAGACAAGGAGCCCUAACCACGGAAUGCAGGAAUGCAGCCGGGUCCCUGCUGUCUAUAAGAGCUCGUCUUUUAUUUGCAAUGACAAAAUACAGAAACAGGGCACGAAUAUAAAUGCAAACAGAAUGUGCAUUAAAGCCACUGACUUCAUUCUGUGCCUUUGUGACAUGUUACUGAUGAAGCAGAGGCCAAGCCCGGUGUGGGGAGGCCAGUUUGCUUUUGGGGUGCUCCCUCUGCAGGCGGCGUGUUGCCUGCAGCACAGAGGAAGGGAGCCGACAAGCAGAGGGGCCCAGCCCUGCGGGUGACUCACACGCUUGCACGCUGAUGGCCAGGAAUGAAUCAACAGUCCUCCAGACCGGUUUAUCAUGUCACAACAAAACGCCAGCAAACAUGUAGUAGUAAACUCCCGAAAGGAU